AUUGAACGCUGGCGGCAGGCCUAACAAAUGCAAGUAGAACGAGUGGCAGACGGGUGAGUAAUGUCUGGGAAACUGCCUGAUGGAGGGGGAUAACAACUGGAAACGGUAGCUAAUACAGCAUACCAUCGGAUGUGCCCAGAUGGGGUUAGCUUGUGGGUGGUGUAACGGCUCACCAAGGCGAGUAUCCCUAGCUGGUCUGAGAGGAUGACCAGCCCCACGGGAACGGAGACAAGGCCCGGACUCCUCCGGGAGGCAACAGUGGGGAAAAUUGCACAUGGGGGUCAAGCUGGAUGCAGCCAUGCCGCGGGGAUGAAGAAGGCCUUCGGGUGGUAAAGUACUUUCAGCGGGGAGGCGUUACCCGCAGAAUAAGCACCGGCUAACUCCGUGCCAGCAGCCGCGGUAAUAC
rnacentral:rRNA from 1 species